rnacentral:rRNA from 1 species
AGUGAACGCUGGCGGUAGGCCUAACACAUGCAAGUCGAACGGCAGCACAGUAAGAGCUUGCUCUUACGGGUGGCGAGUGGCGGACGGGUGAGGAAUACAUCGGAAUCUACUUUUUCGUGGGGGAUAACGUAGGGAAACUUACGCUAAUACCUCAUACGACCUACGGGUGAAAGCAGGGGAUCUUCGGACCUUGCGCGAUUGAAUGAGCCGAUGUCGGAUUAGCUAGUUGGCGGGGUAAAGGCCCACCAAGGCAACAAUCCGUAGCUGGUCUGAGAGGAUGAUCAGCCACACUGGAACUGAGACACGGUCCAGACUCCUACGGGAGGCAGCAGUGGGGAAUAUUGGACAAUGGGCGCAAGCCUGAUCCAGCCAUACCGCGUGGGUGAAGAAGGCCUUCGGGUUGUAAAGCCCUUUUGUUGGGAAAGAAAAGCAGCAGGUUAAUACCCCGCUGUUCUGACGGUACCCAAAGAAUAAGCACCGGCUAACUUCGUG